CUCCUGCCCCAAACAUUAUAGAUCCCAGCCAGUGCGCCCCGCGGCCCUUCCGGGACAAACUGCCCCCAGGACCUCCGCGCCCCAGUAUCAAGAGGACAGCAAAUCUCUCGGUGGCUCCUUUUUUUGCAGGACUCCAAACCGGGCCCGCGAGAUCUCCACCUGCGCAAAACGAAAGGGCGGAUUCUCCUUGGACUCACGAGGCAACCGCUCCCCGGGGUGAGAACGGGAGACUCAUUCCUCCUGCACUGGGAGAAGACGAUUCUUUAGGAGGAGGACAGGGAAGCGAAUGCUACCCAGGUGCGUAAUCACAUUUGAGCACCCUCGGGGGCCUGAGAGGAGGCCAGGGGUGACCUGCCCCCAUUCUCACAGGGAAGGGGCGGUGAGCCUAUUCUCACAGGUGUCUGUGAUGAGCCCAUGUUUUCCAAACUCCUCCGGGAUUCUAGAACAGUCCUAGAGAAGCAGUGAGCCAGCUGGCAGGUUCAAGUGAUUCUCCUGCCUCAGCUUCCCGAGUAGCUGGGAUUACAGGUGCACACCACUAUGCCCAGCUAAUUUUUGUGGAGACGGGGUUUCACCAUGUUGGCCAGGUAGGUCAAACUCCUGAUUUGAGGUCAAACUCCUGACCUCAGGUAAUCCACCCGCCUCGGUCUCCCAAAGUGCUGGGAUUACAGGUGUGAACCACCACACCUGGCCGAGGUCUGCUUUUGUGAUCAGACAAAAGUGGGUUCCAACCCUGACUCACUACGUGGCCUGGGCAAUGUGCCAGCAUCUUCCCAACCUCUCCGUGCACCCCCAAGUAAUCUCAUUCCAUCUUCAAAAAGCCCUUUGAGAUAAGUCCUAGGACUGCUGCAUUUACAGGUGAGGAAAUUAGGACCUGAAAGGUAAGACUGGAUUGGCCACAACCAACACAGGGAGGACAGCGGGGUGGACCCACGACCCAAGGUGGCGCCCGUCGGUUCUCCAAGCCCUCACUCCUCAUGUACCUGCCAUCCUGCCUCAACUUCGCAAAUUGCUUACCCACGCUGAGCAUGUGUCCUCAUGUACACCGACAGCAUCAGGCUCCAAGAAGAAAGCUCAGAACAGCCCUCAGAAAACUGCAUGUUGACAGCACCCAGAGUCCUGGCUGGAAGAGGGAAGGGCACUCACAGAGCUGCUUCGCUGGAGCUGUGUCUCUCCCAACUGCCUUGAAGGAACCUCUUGGGAAGGCAGCAACUUCUGGCCUCUGGGGACCUAAAGAAGCCAAGUGGCAAAGCGAAGAGAGGUCAUCUCCCGGUACAAGAAAAUGGGCUGUCUUCUGGAUAACCGCAGCAAUUCAUCUCUGAGUAGCUGAAGGUCAUUAGUAUGCAUUAUACAAGUGGAACCGUUUGAGAGAAAAGAGGGAACUCACUGGACACAAAAGUGCACUGAGACUGUGAACAGCAAGCCCCGAACAAGGACACAGAGAUAGAUCCCAAAGGGAAAGGCUGGAGGGGGAAGGAUGCGACCCAGCCGCAGUGGCUGAUCCGUGGGGACUCCUGUCUGGGUUUGUGCUGCCAAUCAGUGGCAUUCCCCAGGCAAGACGUGGGCACCAGGCCCGACUUGAAACCCAAGGUUGGCUUCAAGAUCUUGCAACUGAAUCAGAAUGCUGAGUUCAUCGUUGCUGGUGGGCCACCGUCACCUCUCCUUAGCCACCCUGUUGAAGGAUGGCCGGCCCCUCCUGGGAAAAUUGCUACGUUUCCUCAGAUAACAGAUGCACACAUGACUAAUCAGGCCUACCCUGAGAAAUGAGAGCCAGCAGCAGAAGCCACGGCGCACACUCUGUAUUGCGAAAAUGGAAUGUGGGAUGACCUAGGAGAUGACACAAAUGCCGAACGGCGAUCUUUCUGUUUCUAUGAGUCUAAUAACGAAAAAACUUUUCUGCCUGAACCCGUGGGAUCGGAUAAAAUGAAAAACCCCAUUCUGCAAACCACUUCGCCCCAUGGGAAGCAGCUCGGUUUCCUUCCCGUGUCGUCGGGAGCCCUCUGAUGGAGGAAGCCUAAAUUACAGCGCUCAUAACCUAACAGGCAGCCGCCGGGCUCAAGUGCCCCCUGAUUUUCCAGAACUGAAAAGAAGACGAACCAUAAAAGAAGCUGAAUGUUUUAUACCCCUGGCACUUUGCCCAGUGACAGUUGUCAAUCAGAGGUGCUGCAGACCGACUCGAGGGCAGCGUUCAGUGCCCGGGCACACUGCCUGCUGCCAUUGGUUCCUCCCAUGGUUCUCAGGGCGCCAGGUCUCUGUCAACUCCCAGCCCCCAGUUUCCUUACCUUGUCCUACUGCGUCUGAGUCAGGAUGCCUGAUGGGUUGAGCGCUGAUGAUCUCAUCCGUGUCCCACAUGUCCCAGGGAAUCCCAGGUCUGCCCUGAGCUUCCUGUGUCCUUGGGAAAGUCGGUUAAUCUCUGGGCCUCACUGUCCUCAUCGCUGAGCUUGGGGACUUGUAACAGAUGAUUUCUAAGUAUCUUCCGGCUUUGAAUAGAGCAUUUGUCUUGGGUGGCCAGGCUUAAAGUUUAAAGGCAUAAAAGGAAACUGGGAUCUGAUACUUAAUCAGAACUGCUGAGAAUGAGAAGAGCAGAGCAAACUACCGACUGCAUUGGGUGAAAAGUGAAAAUGGUCGGUAGGGAGGUGCCACGGUCAGGAUCUGGGGCUGAGGCGCUAGGAUCUUGCCAGUGCCUUGGCGCCUUUCUCUGCAGUCCCCGGCCUGCCUCCCUGCUGCUCCCUCUCUUCCGGAGUCUGGUGCUGCCCAUUUGCCAGGUGAGCCCCGCCAGCGUCCCAUUGCCGGUUCUCGUGGCCCUCACCUUUUCCUUAUACCCUCAUCCCUGCAGGAGUCGCAGGACCUCAGCUGGCCAGUUGGCUCUGCCUGGAAGGUGCAAGUCUUGUCCUUGUCAGGGAGACUGGCAGCCGCAGUGCUGUGCCUGUCCUAGGCUGAGCAAGAGGCUCCUGGUGUCGAUUCUGGAGCAGCCACAGGCCUCAGCAGGCCCCAGAAAGUGAUGACAUCAGCACAGUACAGCACAGGCUCUGAGGGCCCCACUGCCCCUGCCAUCUCCUCGUCCUCCCCCUCUCCAGUCUCCCUCUCCUUCCAGCACAGUGCAGCCUCCAAGGGCAGCCUCCAUGGUGGAGAUGCUCAAGCUAACGCGUGGGGACGGGAAAAAGCAACCACCAGGGUGGAGGGUCUCCCAGCGGAAGCACAAGGUCUGGGACAAUAAGAGGCAUCAGUCACCGAACCAUCUCACAACUCGAACAGCCCCAGAAGAGCGGGCUGGAGAGUGCAAUGUGACAUCACUUCCCAUCUUGCUGGGAGACAGGGCUUUUGCCAAGAACGGGCCCCUGGGGAUUCGUCGGGCGACAUUUUCAUGCCACUGGCAUAAAUAAAGACUUGUACCAAAGGCUGCCAUUCUGGGCAGAAGGUGCUGCCUAGACCCCCUUAGGGCUACCCUAUCUGGCCCCAGACCCCCGGCUCCUACCACCUAAGCCCAUCACAUCACCCAGGAGGGUCGGCAGUUGCCGGCCCCCACCCACAUUCGCUGGCUUGGUUUUCCUCUGCAGGGGAAGCUGGACUUCUUCCACAUCCAAGUUCAACUACAUGACAUCAGGAACACAGCCUUUCUCCCGACACCUUCGAGCCUCUAUUUGUCUCCAGUAGCUGUCCCAGAAAUCAUGGGUGGGAGCAUUCAGAUAUGUGGUUCCAGAGGUCCCCUUGCCCUAGCCCAAAAGGCUGCCUGAGCUGGGGAUCCCUUCCUUACCCCCCAAUCCGAAAGGCAGCCUGGCCUUCCAAACUGGAGUCCGUGGUUCAGAGUAGGAGAUCCACAGUCAGGGCCCGGGACACGGCUUCCCCUGGCUGGUCUCAAAGCCUUCCUAACCCUCCAGGGGUCCGUCCUGGUCUUCCACGGAGUUUCCCAAAAGCGCGCGCCACACUUGGUGGGCGCUCAGCCCGGAAGCGCCUGUGAACACCGCCCAUCCCAGGACGCACGAAGCCAGUUGGUACGAGCACCUAGAAGCAGCACUCCCCAUUUGUCAUCCUUCCCACGGGGAAGGCUGCCUGCUGCUCCGAGCCCUCAACUCCAAUGAAGUACAGUCGUCAAGAAACGGUGGUCUAAAUAAAGCCGGAGACUCACUCACUGCACCAAUCAGCACCGUGCGUCCGUCUGGAUCUCGGCGCCGGCUGCGCGCAGCCGCCAGGAGGUGGCCGUCGGGACGCGAGCGCCGCCCGGAGCGGUGGUGCAGGGUCUCCGCAUCGCCGGCUGCUGCUGCAGCCCUGCAGCGCUCAGCACUGCUGACUUGGCCCGGGCGGCGGGCAGGCGGGCAGGCGGGCAGGCGGGCAGGCGGGGAGGGCGGGGGAGGGCCUGCUGCAGCUUGGGUUCUAACUGCCCCUGCGCAAGGAGACCGGGAGAAGCCGGCUGCAAGGGCUGGGCUGGCCUGGCCAAGGCUGGGGCAGUUGCAAAGGGUGGGAGCGCAGCGAGCGGAGAAAUACCCCUGACUCAGCACUGGUGCAUUGGGAGGUGUCCCGGAGAGCCUGGCCCACGACACGGACAGGGUGUCCGAAACGUACGCCCCUCUGUGUCACCCUCUAGUCAUGCACCCCCAUCUAAUUCUGAAACCAGCUCUAGCCUCAUUUUUUCCCUUCCACGAUGAUGGACUGUAAUGCACCCUGCUCUGAGGCCUGGGGGGAAUGGACAGACAGAAUUCUCUUUCAAGCCCAACCCAGGCCCGGGGAACCCCCUAGAUGUUACUGUGGGGUCACAGACAAGGCCGUGGGGAUUUGACACGUGGGCAGGGACAAGGGCAACCCCAAAGCUAGUGGAUCUGACAUGGGGGUGACUGGGUGGUGUGGUGGGCAUCAUUUCAUUCACUGCAGUGGAUUUGCUGCCUGGGAAAUGCUGCCCCCACCGUCCCAGGCCCGCUUUUGUCUUACUAGCUACUUAGCAGCCAGCUUCCCUGUUCUGCUGCCUGAGAGAUGAAGGUGUCCCAGGCUAAGAUCCCUCCAUCACCUGCCCAUCCCUGAGGGUCUCAUGUCACCUCGGCGGCUGCACCUCCUCUUCCCAAACACCCUGUGGUGGCUUUGGCCCGGACAGUGCCUGCCCGAGGGAAGGAGGCCUCCGGCCAUAUGAAGACUGUAGAGGCCAGGGCAGCCGUCCCUUGUUCAUUUCGUCCUGUGUAGUUCCUUUCACAAGCCCCACUGAAAUCAUCUGCUCUUCCCCGGGACCCAUUUGUGAAGUUCCUGUCUCCCUUGACCUCCCUGUAGGGAACCAGAGACUAGUGGGCAGGGACAGAGUGCUGGGGGCCAACAGUGGCAUUUGCUCUGCAGCCCUUACCAGCAGGCCUCCCCCUUGGCUAAUUCCAGGCAGGAAGGACACUCGUUUGUCAUCCAGGCUGGGAAGGGAGGCACCAGAAGAGAAGAGUGUGUCUGGGCAGGCCAGGUCUGUUCUCUCCCUCUCCAGGGUGGAGAGGUCACAGAUACCUCCAUCCCAUGGAUGAGGGCAAACUAAAAGUCCAGAGACAAACAGCUGGUCCUCGCAGCUUCCAGCGUUGGGAGUCAGAGGCUGGGGUGGGUUACAGUUCAGCCUGCUGCACAGGUGAGUCUCCAUCCUUAGCAUCCUACCAUGCUGACUUCAAAAGACCCUGGUGCGUGGGACCCCAGUGACUCGUUUUGGUGUGCUGGGCUCAAAAUCGUUCGUGGCCAAGCACGUUAGUCUGGAAAAUUUAAGUUGCUGCAGAUUGAUGGACAGAAAGAGAGAUGGUUUUCAAUGUACAGGGAAUGUAUUUUAAAAUGGAGCAAGAGACAGGGCUACAAGGAGGGAACAGGCACUUUGAAAGCAGCCAGUAGAAAGUCGCUCCUAAUUCUGGGGGAGGGAAUUGUGUUCAGCCUGCAGAGUGCUUUUCUAGUCGAGGCGAUGAUUUGGUCUAAGACUUCAUAAAACAUUUGUCUAUGAGCCCAAAUUUCCCCAAAUGACUGCGGUGUUUGGUAUGAGCACCUUGCGUGCCCCAGGGAGCUUCAACGCCAGCAGCCUCCUGCCACAGUACAGGAAGGUUCUCUAAGCACGAGCUUUCAAUUCAGGUGCCUGUCUAUAGUGAGAACCAGAACACAAUGCAGGGACCCACAGGGGUCAUGUGGCUCCACCAGCCUCAGCCGUUCCCAAGAGCCCGGUUGCUGUUUCAGGGGCUUGCCUGGAUAAUUUAUAUCUGAGAGGUUUGCUGCACAUCCUUUGAGUGAUUUAUGGUGAAAUCUAAAAUUUCUUUGUAAAAAGAUACCCUUUUGCUUUGGGAGGGAUCACAAGGAGCUCAGCCCUCCAGUGCCCAGGACCACCUGGGCAGAUGCCAUUGUUGGAACUGUAUAAUGUUGCCCCCCAUGCAGACCUGAUCUGAGCUCUGCGUGUGAGGGAAUGCCACUCCAGCAGUGCCAGCCUGGGAGCUCCUCCAGCCGGCACCUACUGAGGCAGCAAAUGACUUUGGGGAGGCCCUUUGGCUGGGUGCAUAGGAGUCUGGGUCCCAGAGACCAUAGCUCACAUGUCUCAGGCUGCUUAUGUACUUCCCCAGAAAGAGCCACUGUCCCGAGUGUGCUUCCUGCUGCUUUUGUGCAGUCCCAUCUAGAUGAGCCCCUUAUGGAGCCCCCUCCCCUUCUGCCUGGCACCCAAUGCUCCCAUCAUUCAACACCUGCUACCAACACAGAAGAGGUCCAUCCCCUUCUUAAAUGCUAUAGCCUCUGCCCCGGCAGCCACUAAUCAUUCUAUUUCGAGUUUCCCUCCAGAGCUCAUCUCAGUAAAUCCGGAAGAAGAAAACCUCCAUCUCCAGCGAACAAGACCAUGAAGGCUGCAUCAGUGUUCCCAGGUUUCAAACCAAGCUGGAGAUAGAUCACAACAGACACCAGACCCGCAUUCUCCGACCCAAUUCCACAUGGCUGAGAGAGCCAGUUAACCAGACGCAAACACACGCGGCAGGAUGGCACGCGACCGAGGCAAGGACUAAGCCUCAACUCAUCACUGACUCCUUCUGCUGCUGCCUCUGCCGCUGCUGCCUCUGCCGCUGCUGCGGUCUGCAGUCACUUGAAGGAGAAAGAUUUCGCAGUACGGCAUUCUUAAAGCUGCAGUGUCCAAAUUCUCCUUCAAACCCCACUGUCACCGACAUCAGCCAACUUACCGGGGUCCUUCGCAGAGGCCGCUGCCGUCCUGCCUGGAUGCUGGCAAGUUCGGACUGCUUCGGGAGAGGCAGGACCCGAAAUAAGAAGUGUCAGCUGGGUCCCUGCACCCAAAUGGUGCCAGGAGUCAACACUGCAGGCGGCAGGGAUGGUCUCCCCCACCACGCACCCGCCCCCCGCCGGUUGAAUUUAAACCCCUGACACUGCAAGAUGCUCACUCCUAUAGAGACACCUCUCCGCGGAGCCUCCUCCCUCCCCCACGCUCUCACACAACUAGGUCCAAGGCUUUGCCCCACCUCCCAGAUUUGUUCACCUGAAGAUGCUUUUCUUGCAAAAAAGCAAAACAAAACAAAACAAAAACAAAAACAGAAGAUUGAGACUCUGCAGAGUCUUUAAUCCUUAAUUCUAGAGAAGGCGGGACUUGUUCAGAAGUUUGAGAAUUGCAGCCUGAUGCCCAGGAAGGAGCAGAGGUGGUGAGCCGACAGUCUGCUUUGCACCAGACAAGUCGACACUGUUGCUUUAUCAAGAAGGGCAGAGGUAGACCCGGGGUGAAGAGAAGAGGAAAAUUCCUCUCCAUCCACUGGCAAAUUCUCAACAGUUUCAGAAAUCUCUAUUUUUGUUUUCCUUCAAGAAAACCCCAUUUAAAAAAUUUUCAUGCACAUGAAAUGUACAAGAUUGCCACUAAAUGUCAAUUUUGUCCUGA